rnacentral:rRNA from 1 species
UUUAACCUGCAAGUCGAACGGAAACGAAAAUAGCUUGCUAUUUGGCGUCGAGUGGCGAACGGGUGAGUAACGCGUAGGAAUCUACCCAGUAGAGGGGGAUAGCCCGAAGAAAUUCGGAUUAAUACCGCAUAAUCUCUACGGAGUAAAGAAGGCCUCUUUACAAUGCUUUUACUAUUGGAUGAGCCUGCGUUAGAUUAGUUAGUUGGUAGGGUAAAAGCCUACCAAGGCGACGAUCUAUAGCUGGUUUUACGAGAAUGAUCAGCCACACUGGAACUGAGACACGGUCCAGACUCCUACGGGAGGCAGCAGUGAAGAAUAUUGGACAAUGGGGGAAACCCUGAUCCAGCAAUGUUGCGUGUGUGAAGAAGGUCCGAGGAUUGUAAAGCACUUUCAGUAAGCAAGAAAAAUGUAAAUCUAAUAGAUUUGCAUGUUGACCACUUAUAGAAGAAGCACCGGCUAACUCCGUGCCAGCAGCCGCGGUAAUACGGAGGGUGCGAGCGUUAAUCGGAAUUACUGGGCGUAAAGGGUAAGUAGGCGGUUUAUAAAGUCACAUGUGAAAGCCCUAGGGCUUACC